AUUGAACGCUGGCGGCAUGCCUUACACAUGCAAGUCGAACGGCAGCAUAGGAGCUUGCUCCUGAUGGCGAGUGGCGAACGGGUGAGUAAUAUAUCGGAACGUGCCCUAGAGUGGGGGAUAACUAGUCGAAAGAUUAGCUAAUACCGCAUACGAUCUACGGAUGAAAGUGGGGGAUCGCAAGACCUCAUGCUCCUGGAGCGGCCGAUAUCUGAUUAGCUAGUUGGUGGGGUAAAAGCCUGCCAAGGCGACGAUCAGUAGCUGGUCUGAGAGGACGACCAGCCACACUGGGACUGAGACACGGCCCAGACUCCUACGGGAGGCAGCAGUGGGGAAUUUUGGACAAUGGGGGCAACCCUGAUCCAGCAAUGCUGCGUGAGUGAAGAAGGCCUUCGGGUUGUAAAGCUCUUUUGUCAGGGAAGAAACGGUUUUGGCUAAUAUCCAGAACUAAUGACGGUACCUGAAGAAUAAGCACCGGCUAACUACGUGCCAGCCGCCGCAGUAA
rnacentral:rRNA from 1 species